AGUGUAGUUAAUAGCUGCAUUAUUUGACGUUAGCGACAGAAGAAGCACCGGCUAACUCCGUGCCAGCAGCCGCGGUAAUACGGAGGGUGCGAGCGUUAAUCGGAAUUACUGGGCGUAAAGCGCAUGCAGGUGGUUUGGUUAAGUCAGAUGUGAAAGACCCGGGGCGUCAACCUCGGAAUUGCAUUUGUAAACUGGCAGACUAGAGUACUGUAGAGGGGGGUAGGAAUUUCAGGUGUAGCGGUGAAAUGCGUAGAGAUCUGAAGGAAUACCGGUGGCGAAGGCGGCCCCCUGGACAGAUACUGACACUCAGAUGCGAAAGCGUGGGGAGCAAACAGGAUUAGAUACCCUGGUAG
rnacentral:rRNA from 1 species